GGGGUUGUAGCUUAGUGGUAGAGCACUUGCCUAGCAUGUGUGAGGCCCUGGGUUUAAUUCUCAGCACCA
rnacentral:tRNA from 1 species